GGUUGGGGGUGGGUGGGGGCAGAGGUUAUGAAGAGUGUGGAACCAUUAUAAGUUGGUAAAGAUGGCGAAUGAUUAACCAGGGACCAGGGUCGCAAAAACUCUAGGUAGACGCCUGUGGGCCAAAAGAGAGGAGAAAAGAGGAACAGAAUGAAGCAAAAUGUCUUUGGUUAUCAUUGAUAUGGAGAGGCUGACCUUCGACCAACCACAACCUCCCAAGCCAAGAAAAAGAAGAUACAGAACAAUAGAGGAAGAACAGAGUUUCAAGGUGAGGGAGGAGGACGAAGAAGAUGAGACAUGUUUGCAGUGUUUUGGAGGCAAAAUUUGGACUUGUUGCAAUUUAAUAUGAUUAUUUCGUUCUCUUAUUUUCUCUAUAA